UCCUUCGGGAGCGAGUAAAGUGGCGGACGGGUGAGUAACGCGUAGGAAUCUACCUUUCAGUGGGGGAUAGCUCGGGGAAACUCGAAUUAAUACCGCAUACACCCUUCGGGGGAAAGGGGGCCUCUCCUUGGAAGCUCUCGCUGUUAGAUGAGCCUGCGUGAGAUUAGCUUGUUGGUAAGGUAAUGGCUUACCAAGGCUACGAUCUCUAGCUGGUCUGAGAGGACGAUCAGCCACACUGGGACUGAGACACGGCCCAGACUCCUACGGGAGGCAGCAGUAGGGAAUAUUGGACAAUGGGGGCAACCCUGAUCCAGGCAUGCCGCGUGUGUGAAGAAGGCCUUAGGGUUGUAAAGCACUUUAAGUGAGGAAGAAAAGAUUUAAAUUAAUACUUUAAGUCCCUGACAUUACUCACAGAAUAAGGACCGGCUAACUCCGUGCCAGCAGCCGCGGUAAUACGGAGGGUCCAAGCGUUAAUCGGAAUUACUGGGCGUAAAGCGCGCGUAGAUGGUUUAUUCAGUUGGGUGUGAAAUCCCUGGGCUCAACCUAGGAACUGCAUUCAAAACUUAUAAACUAGAGUACGAAAGAGGAGAGUAGAAUUCAUGGUGUAGCGGUGAAAUGCGUAGAGAUCAUGAGGAAUACCAGUGGCGAAGGCGACUCUCUGGUUCGAGACUGACAUUGAGGUGCGAAAGCGUGGGUAGCAAACAGGAUUAGAUACCCUGGUAGUCCACGCCGUAAACGAUGAGAACUAGCCGUUGGAUCUUUAGAUUCAGUGGCGCAGCUAACGCAUUAAGUUCUCCGCCUGGGGA
rnacentral:rRNA from 1 species